GAUGAACGCUAGCGGGAGGCCUAAUACAUGCAAGUCGAGCGGUAGAGUGACUUCGGUUGCUUGAGAGCGGCGAACGGGUGAGUAACGCGUACACAAUCUACCUUUAAGAGGGGAAUAGCCCUGGGAAACUGGGAUUAAUGCCCCAUGGCAUCACGAGACGGCAUCGUUUUGUGAUUAAAGCUGAGGUGCUUAGAGAUGAGUGUGCGUCUGAUUAGCUAGUUGGUGCGGUAACGGCGCACCAAGGCGACGAUCAGUAGGGGGCGUGAGAGCGCGGACCCCCACACGGGUACUGAGACACGGACCCGACUCCUACGGGAGGCAGCAGUAAGGAAUAUUGGUCAAUGGAGGAAACUCUGAACCAGCCAUCCCGCGUGCAGGAAGAAUGCCCUAUGGGUUGUAAACUGCUUUUAUCUGGGAAGAAAAGUCGGGAUUUAUCCUGAUCUGACGGUACCAGAGGAAUAAGCACCGGCUAACUCCGUGCCAGCAGCCGU
rnacentral:rRNA from 1 species